GGCAGCUGCUAAAAGCAGACGGUGGGGCAGAAGCCCAUUAGAUUGUGGUGUAAUUAUCAGAGAAGAACAGGAAAUGGAGAGAAACGCAACUUGCACAGAGCAAGAAAUACGCAGAAAGAAAGCAGAAUGGAACUACGUGCAAUGAACAAGAAAAGAGACUUUGGAUUACACCAGUGCAAGAAAGUGUGGCCUGUGGCCUCCAUUGCUUUGUAACUGCAGGGGGAGGAAGUAUGACUGAGCAAAAUACAGUAUUUUAUUUCUGGCGAAUUCAAACAACAAACCAUCUCCAUGCAACCGAGAAGGGGAGAUCAGGAACAAGCAAACAGCAGAGUCAUGUUUCAGUCAUCCAAACAAGGAGCAGACACAAUACCAUAUGCCUUAAGUGACCAAUCACACGCCAUGAAGAACAAAUGGUCGAACAGAACAGUCUGCACAGUUCCCAGAGAUUGAACAUGUUUUCCCCAAACUAGUUGACAAAGAUGAGGCUGUUUGGCCGGGUUGUUAUGAGACAAGAGCACAGUCCAGCUGUAUGGAGUUAGCUGAUCAGUGUGAGAGCAUUUCGCUGUUGAUCAAAGCACCAGCUGUCACACAUGAUUCAGAAGUGAAAGACCCAGAAUACCCUGGUCAUCAUUUUUUCAUGGGGAAGAG